rnacentral:rRNA from 1 species
GAUGAACGCUGGCGGCGUGCCUAAUACAUGCAAGUCGAGCGAACAGACGAGGAGCUUGCUCCUCUGACGUUAGCGGCGGACGGGUGAGUAACACGUGGAUAACCUACCUAUAAGACUGGGAUAACUUCGGGAAACCGGAGCUAAUACCGGAUAAUAUAUUGAACCGCAUGGUUCAAUAGUGAAAGACGGUUUUGCUGUCACUUAUAGAUGGAUCCGCGCCGCAUUAGCUAGUUGGUAAGGUAACGGCUUACCAAGGCAACGAUGCGUAGCCGACCGGAGAGGGGGGUCGCCCCCACGGGAGGGGAGACGGGGACAAGCCGCCUGCGGGAGGACGCAGAAGGGAACCGUCGGCAAGGGGGGAAAUUUGUGCGGACAGGCCCGGCGUGAGGUACAGAGGUGUCGGGUUCGAAAAACUGUUUUUUGGGGAAAAAACAAAUUUGUAAUAAACUUUGCCGUUCUUGACGGUAAUUAAUAAAAAACCACCGGCUAACUACGUG